rnacentral:rRNA from 1 species
AUACGUAGGGGGCGAGCGUUGUCCGGAAUGAUUGGGCGUAAAGGGCGCGUAGGCGGCCCGGUAAGUCUGGAGUGAAAGUCCUGUUUUUAAGAUGGGAAUUGCUUUGGAUACUGUCGGGCUUGAGUGCAGGAGAGGUAAGUGGAAUUCCCAGUGCAGCGGUGAAAUGCGUAGAGAUUGGGAGGAACACCAGUGGCGAAGGCGACUUACUGGACUGUAACUGACGCUGAGGCGCGAGAGUGUGGGGAGCAAACAGGAUUAGAUACCCUGGUAGUCCACACUGUAAACGAUGAAUGCUAGGUGUAGGGGGUAUCGACCCCUUCUGUGCCGCAGUCAACACAAUAAGCAUUCCGCCUGGGGAGUACGGCCGCAAGGUUGAAACUCAAAGGAAUUGACGGGG